rnacentral:rRNA from 1 species
AACUGGGAAACUGUCCACCAUGGGCAUGUCCGUGAAUGUAAAGUCCACUGGAAUGUGGCAGCGCUUCGGCGUUCUUUGGGUCAGAGAGGGUGAAAACCCCGUUUACAUUCAUUGUGGGGCGUGUCUGUUGUGUGGGCGUGUUGAAGAGUCGGAUUGUUUGGGAAUGCAAUCCAAAACGGGUGGUAAAUUCCAUCCAAGACUAAAUAUUAGCAAGAGACCGAUAGCGAACAAGUACCGUGAGGGAAAGAUGAUUACCUCUAUUGA